rnacentral:rRNA from 1 species
CCUACGGGAGGCAGCAGUGAGGAAUAUUGGUCAAUGGCCGGAAGGCUGAACCAGCCAUGCCGCGUGAAGGUCAGUGCCCUAUGGGCGUUAAACUUCUUUUGUGCGGGAGCAAUAAUGGUCACGUUUGGCCAGACGAGAGUACCGUACGAAUAAGCAUCGGCUAACUCCGUGCCAGCAGCCGCGGUAAUACGGGGGGUGCAAGCGUUAUCCGGAUUUAUUGGGUUUAAAGGGUGCGUAGGCUGGGAAGUAAGUCAGCGGGGAAAUGCCCCCGCUCAACGGGGUGAAGUGCCAUUGAUACUGCCUUGCUGGAAUGCGGAUGCCGUGGGAGGAAUGUGUGGUGUAGCGGUGAAAUGCAUAGAUAUCACACAGAACACCGAUUGCGAAGGCAUCUCACGAAUCCGCGAUUGACGCUGAUGCACGAAAGCGUGGGUAUCAAACAGGAUUAGAUACCCCAGUAGUC